rnacentral:tRNA from 1 species
ACGCAUCAUAGUUUUUGAGAUAAGCGGUUUCCGCCGGGAGAUCGACUUCAAUGGUCCGCUGAACGCACUCAUACAGA